rnacentral:rRNA from 1 species
UACGAGGGGGGCGAGCGUUGUUCGGAAUUAUUGGGCGUAAAGGGCGCGUAGGCGGCGCAGGUAGUCAUCGGUGAAAGUUCAGGGCUCAACUCUGAAUCGGCCGGUGAUACUCCCGUGCUCGAGCACUGUAGAGGCAGGUGGAAUUCCGGGUGUAGCGGUGGAAUGCGUAGAGAUCCGGAAGAACACCGGUGGCGAAGGCGGCCUGCUGGGCAGUAGCUGACGCUGAUGCGCGACAGCGUGGGGAGCAAACAGG